ACAGACCCAGCUCACAAGAGUCUCGAAACACGGCGGCAUAGCACGCGACCCCGAUCCAUCUUUGUCCUCUGAGGAGAGCAGGCCUAAAGAAAAUGUUAGCAAGUAGUCCUCAUUGCUACUGGCAUUCAUGCUGUGAACUUGAAGGGACCUGCCUAAGGAGGAAUAGAUACUGUGGACAGCACAGAGGAGAGAUGGAAAGAAACUGGGUCAUUAUGACAUUGUUAAGCUGCUAGAUCAACGGUGGAGCCUGCCCAACAGCUGGACUCUUCAUUAAUGACUUCUAGUACUAUGUUGAACAAUAGUGA